ACUCCUACGGGAGGCAGCAGUGGGGAAUAUUGCACAAUGGGCGAAAGCCUGAUGCAGCAACGCCGCGUGAGUGAUGAAGGCCUUCGGGUUGUAAAGCUCUGUCUUCUGGGACGAUAAUGACGGUACCAGAGGAGGAAGCCACGGCUAACUACGUGCCAGCAGCCGCGGUAAU
rnacentral:rRNA from 1 species